UCUGUAUCCCUGGUGAGUGAGGGUGAGGCCUCUGGGCUGUAAACCUCUUUUCUCAAGGAAGAAGAUUGAAGGGCUUGAGGAAUAAGCCACGGCUAAUUCCGUGCCAGAGCCGCGGGAAUACGGGAGUGGCAAGCGUUAUCCGGAAUUAUUGGGCGUAAAGCGUCCGCAGGCGGCCCUUCAAGUCUGCUGUUAAAACGUGGAGCUUAACUCCAUCAUGGCAGUGGAAACUGUCGGGCUCGAGUGUGGUAGGGGCAGAGGGAAUUCCCGGUGUAGCGGUGAAAUGCGUAGAUAUCGGGAAGAACACCAGUGGCGAAGGCGCUCUGCUGGGCCAUAACUGACGCUCAUGGACG
rnacentral:rRNA from 1 species